rnacentral:misc_RNA from 1 species
AACGCACAUUGCGCCUUUUGGUAUUCCGGAAGGCAUGCUUGUUUGAGUAUCAGUAAAAUCCCUCAGCAAAAAAUAACGCGUGUUUUUUUUGCUGGAUUUGAGCUAAAGUCCCUUAAUCAAAAAAUUUUUUUGAUGCAGGGUUGCUUGAAAUUAUGGAUCGGCCAAAUGACCAAUUGUGGCUUACAAGCAUUUCAUACUUAAUCCCGUCAAACGGAUUAUUUCCUUUGCUAAAGCCAACACAAAACAAUUGUCGAUUGACCGACUGAUGCAGGAAAAAGGGAGGUGAACAACGUCCCUCAACGAUCCUCGAUCUCAAAUCAAGUAAGACUACCCGCUGAACUUAA